CCCUUAGAUGUUCUGGGCCGCACGCGUGCUACACUGAGUGGAUCAGCGGGUCAGGUUGCGCGAAAGUGUUUCCUAAUCUUUAAAUCCGCUCGUGAUGGGGAUUGACGGUUGCAAUUUUCCGUCAUGAACGAGGAAUACCUUGUAAGCGCGGGUCAUCAUCCCGCGCUGAAUACGUCCCUGCCCUUUGUACACACCGCACGUCGCUCCUACCGAUUGAGUGGUCCGGUGAGGCUUUGGGAUCUGGGCGGAAAGAGCGUUUCGCUGUUUCUGCCCGGAAAACUCAGUCGAACCUUAUCAUUUAGAGGAAGGAGAAGUCGUAACA
rnacentral:rRNA from 1 species